CCCAUGUUCUCCCUGUGCGGCGCUGCGGGCCGAGCGCUCAGCAGGUGCGUCAGGGCCCGACGGCCGCUGUGACUGCGGCGGGGGGAAGAGUCUCGGGUUGCUUAAGGGCCGCUGCGGGGCCCGCGGUGGGUACGAGCUGGUGGUCCAAGGCUUUUACUGAGGAUGACAUUAGGAACAGAAAUUACUACCCAUCUCCAGGCCUCUUCAUAUGCAGCAUCAGACCGAAACUUUUUGAAAUGGGACCUGUCACCAGAGCAAAUCAGAACAAGGACAGAAGAUCUGAUCACAAAAACAAAGCAAGUGUAUGACAAUGUUGGAAUGCUUGAUUUUGAAAAAGUAACAUAUGAGAACACUGUGCAGGCUCUGGCCGACAUAGAAGUGGAGUAUACAGUGGAAAGAAGCAUGCUGGAUUUCCCGCAGCAUGUCUCGUCCAACAAAGAUGUGCGCUCAGCAAGCACAGAAGCUGACAAAAGACUUUCUUAUUUUGAUGUGGAGAUGAGCAUGAGAGAAGAUGUGUUUCAGAGGAUUGUUUAUUUGCAGCAAAUAUGUGAUCUUGGACAUCUAAAGCCUGAAGCUAAGCGGUACUUAGAGAAGUCAGUUCAAAUGGGAAAAAGGAAUGGACUCCAUCUACCCAAAGAAGUACAGAAUGAAAUAAAGACCAUGAAGAAAAAAUUGAGUGAACUGUGUAUAGACUUCAACAAAAACCUCAAUGAGGAAAACACAUUUCUUAUGUUUUCUAAGGAUGAACUUCAAGCCCUUCCUGAUGACUUUAUUAAUAGUUUAGAGAAGACUGAAAAGAACAAGUAUAAAGUUACCUUAAAGUAUCCCCACUAUUUUUCUGUCAUGAAAAAGUGCUGCAUUCCAGAGACAAGAAGAAAAAUGGAAACUGCCUUUAACACAAGAUGCAAGAAGGAAAAUACUAAAAUUCUUCAGCAGUUGCUUCCCUUAAGGGCAAAAGUAGCAGAGCUUCUUGGGUACAAUACACAUGCCAACUUUGUACUGGAAGUGAACACAGCAAAGAGCACGGAUAAUGUAACAACCUUUUUAGAUGAUUUAAGUAAGAAGCUAAAACCACUGGGUGAUGAGGAGAGAGAGUUUAUUCUGGAUUUGAAGAAAAAGGAGUGUGAAGAAAGAGGCGUUGACUAUGAUGGAAGAAUCAAUGCAUGGGAUUUACAUUAUUAUAUGAACAAGACAGAAGAGCUUAAAUAUUCCGUAGAUCAAGAGAAGCUGAAGGAAUACUUUCCAGCUGAAGCUGUUACACAAGGCUUAUUGAACAUUUACCAGAAGCUGCUUGGACUUGUAUUUGAGCAGGUAGAAAAUGCUCAUGUUUGGCAUGAGAGUGUUACUCUAUAUACAGUAAAAGAUGAUUCAACAAGAGAAGUUUUAGGUCAGUUCUACUUAGAUCUCUAUCCCAGAGAAGGGAAGUAUGGGCAUGCAGCAUGCUUUGGUCUCCAGCCUGGCUGCCUAUGCUCUGAUGGCAGCAGAAUGAUGUCUGUAGCUGCUCUGGUGACCAACUUCACAAAACCAAUAUCAGAUCGCCCAUCAUUGCUGCGACACGAUGAAGUGAAGACUUACUUCCAUGAGUUUGGUCACGUAAUGCACCAGAUAUGUGCACAGACCGAUUUUGCUAGAUUUAGUGGAACUAAUGUGGAAACAGACUUCGUAGAAGUUCCUUCACAAAUGUUUGAGAACUGGGCAUGGGAAAAAGAACCUCUUCAGCAAAUGUCAAAACAUUAUAAAGAUGGGAGCCAUGUUGCAGAUGCUCUUCUUGAGAAACUUGCUGCCUCUAGAAUGGCCAAUACAGGUCUUUUGACUCUUCGUCAGAUUGUUUUGAGCAAGGUUGACCAGUCCAUUCAUACCAAAUUAUCUGCUGACCCUGCAGAUGAAUAUGCCAAGUACUGCAUGGAGAUUCUGGGAAUUUCUGCAACCCCAGGAACAAACAUGCCAGCUACUUUUGGACAUUUGGCAGGUGGCUAUGAUGGCCAAUACUAUGGAUAUCUGUGGAGUGAAGUUUUUUCCAUGGAUAUUUUUUAUAGCUGCUUUAAACAAGAAGGAAUAAUGAAUCCAAAGGCUGGAAUGAAAUACAGAAACCUUAUCCUGAAACCUGGAGGAUCUUUGGAUGGGAUGGAUAUACUCCAAAAUUUCUUACAGUGUAAACCAAACCAGAAAGCUUUCCUAUUGAGUAAGGGAUUGAAUAUUCAAUGAAGCAACUGAUCCUUUGGAAUGGUACAUCAGCAAGGCAGAAGAUCCAAGAUUCAGACUUGGGAGAGGUCUUUUGCUCCUGAGGGUGUUAUUGGAUGAGAGAUUUGCAUUGAUGACACCUUCAUCUUUUAUUUUUAUAUUAAACUAUCAUCAUGUACCAUGUAAUUGAAGAACUUCUUUCCUAAUUUCAGUUGUGUCUCCUGGGCUGGGUGAAACAGCAAUUGUAAGACCACAGCACACCUCAGAAAAAUGUGAUCACACCUCAUAGGAGAACAUGCAGGAUAAAGGGGUAAGGGAUCACAGAAUAGGAAGGACCUGUAAGUGAUCUGCGGGCCAAGAAGAUGUUAAAUGGAGGGACACAGAUCAGUGAUGCAAACUGGACCUUCCACCCCUUCAUAGGAAGGAACUACAGUAACUGCUUCAAGAAAGGAAUUUCUGACAUUAUAAUUGAAGAUUUUAAAAUAUCCAUCUUCAUAAUCAGUGCAUAAACCUACCAAUAGAGAUAGUUAAGACUCACAAUCCAUUUUUAUAGUGUGUGACAGGAAAAACGGCUCUGUCGCUUGGGUAUAUCACGCUGCCGUUGUUGUACCAUUUGUUUUAUAAAAUAAAGCUUCCUAUUGUGUAGUCAUUAUGUAAUGGGAAUGUAAUUUUCUUAAAUGAUGAUUUUACUGUUUACUAAGUUUUUAUAUAUACUGAUGAUUGUAUCAUCACAAGUUACAUAUGUACUCAAUGAUUUCUCAAUUAAAAAAAUAAACUUUCAA